rnacentral:rRNA from 1 species
CCUACGGGUGGCAGCAGUCGAGAAUCAUUCACAAUGGGGGAAACCCUGAUGGUGCGACGCCGCGUGGGGGAAUGAAGGUCUUCGGAUUGUAAACCCCUGUCAUGUGGGAGCAAAUUAAAAAGAUAGUACCCCAAGAGGAAGAGACGGCUAACUCUGUGCCAGCAGCCGCGGUAAUACAGAGGUCUCAAGCGUUGUUCGGAAUCACUGGGCGUAAAGCGUGCGUAGGAUGUUUCGUAAGUCGUGUGUGAAAGGCGCGGGCUCAACCCGCGGACGGCACAUGAUACUGCGAGACUAGAGUAAUGGAGGGGGAACCGGAAUGCUCGGUGUAGCAGUGAAAUGCGUAGAUAUCGAGAGGAACACUCGUGGCGAAGGCGGGUUCCUGGACAUUAACUGACGCUGAGGCACGAAGGCCAGGGGAGCGAAAGGGAUUAGAUACCCGAGUAGUC